AGAGUUUGAUCCUGGCUCAGAUUGAACGCUGGCGGCAUGCCUUACACAUGCAAGUCGAACGGCAGCAUGAUCUAGCUUGCUAGAUUGAUGGCGAGUGGCGAACGGGUGAGUAAUACAUCGGAACGUAUCCUUGAGUGGGGGAUAACGCAGCGAAAGUUGUGCUAAUACCGCAUAAGCUCUGAGGAGGAAAGCGGGGGACCGAAAGGCCUCGCGCUGAAGGAGCGGCCGAUGUCCGAUUAGCUAGUUGGUGAGGUAAAGGCUUACCAAGGCGACGAUCGGUAGCUGGUCUGAGAGGAUGAUCAGCCACACUGGGACUGAGACACGGCCCAGACUCCUACGGGAGGCGAC
rnacentral:rRNA from 1 species